GAUGAACGCUAGCGGGAGGCUUAAUACAUGCAAGUUGAGGGGCAGCAUGAUAUACGCGAGUAUAUUGAUGGCGACCGGCGGACGGGUGAGUAAUAGGUAGGAGACCUACCUCAUACAGGGGGAUAGCAUAGAGAAAUCUGUGGUAAUACCCCAUGAGGUUAUAUGAAUAGAGGCAUAUAAUCAAAGCAUAAGCGAUUAUGCGGUAUGAGAGGGGCCUACUGACCAUUAGCUAGUUGGUGAGGUAAGGGCUCACCAAGGCGAAGAUGGUUAGGGGUUUUGAGAGAGAGACCCCCCACAUUGGAACUGAGAGACGGUCCAGACUCCUACGGGAGGCAGCAGUAGGGAAUAUUGGGCAAUGGGCGAAAGCCUGACCCAGCCAUGCCGCGUGAAGGAAGACGGCCUUAUGGGUUGUAAACUUCUUUACUACGCGAAUAGAGGUUAGUACGAGAUACUAAUAGGAAGGUAGUGUAGUAAAAAGCAACCGGCUAACUCCGUGCC
rnacentral:rRNA from 1 species